rnacentral:lncRNA from 1 species
AGAGUUAUAAUAAAAUUGGACUAUGGCAUAUGGAAAGGGGGAAGAAAAGGAAAGGAUUCUUAUUGUACUACUUAUAAAUACCCUUAGGGUUCCUAUCUAGGGUGUUAAUUUUCUUGGAAUUAUUUUGUUGUUUCUCUUUAUUCUCUCUUUCCUCUUUUUUGGUUGGUUCGGAGUUUGUGGAGGGGCGUAUGAGAUCUGUAUCCUUAGAAUGGCCAUCCAAAGUAGGGAUGCAAAUAGGGCUGGUCGGAUUGGAUCGGAUCAUCAGUGACCUCGACCCGACCCGAUUUCUUGGUUGGCUUUUAAUGUUAGACUCAAACCUAGCCCAUUAGAAGAUCGGGUCGGCUCGGUCAGGUCCGCGACUAAAGUUUUUGACCCAACAGAUUAUUCGAGUUGGCUUAGGUCGGGUCCGUGUACAACCCGAUUCCAUCCUAAAAAUACUAUAGUACAAUAUAUGCUACUAUAGUAUAGUACAGUAUAUGCUACUAUAGUAUAGUAUAUACAAAAUACUAUAGUAUAUACUAGUAUAGUAUAGUAUAUACUAGUUUAGUAUGAUAUAGUGUAUACUAGUAUAAUAUAGUAUAUACUUGUAUAGUAUAGUAUAUUCCAUUGUAGUAUAGUAUGGUAUAGUAUAUAUCGACAUAGUAUAGUAUAGUAUUGUAUAGUACGUACUAGUAUAGUAAGUAUUAGUAUAGUAUAGUAUGUAUUAAUAUAGUAUAGUAUGUACUAGUAUAGUAUAUAUGGGUAUAGUAUAGUAUAGUAUAGCAUAUACCAAUAUAUUAUAGUAUGGUAUAGCAUAUACCGGUAUACAAUAUACAGGUAUAGCCUAUAUUGGUAUACUAUAUACCGGUAUACAAUAUACUGGUAUAACCUAUAUCGGUAUAGCAUAUACCGGUAUACAAUAUAUGGGUCUAUACUAGUGUAUGGAUAUAUAUAUAUAUAUGUAUACCUACAUGUAUCCAUGUACGUAUAUAUAUAUAUAUCUACCUGAAACCUGAAAUUCGAAACCCGAAACCCCAAAUCCCAAAAACCCUAACCCUAAAUUCUAAAACCCAAACCCNNNNNNNNNNNUAAACUCCUAAAAUCUAAAACCCAAACCCUGAACCCUAAAACCCUAACCCGAAACCCGAAAACCAAAAUUCAAAACCCUAAAUCCGAAACCCUAAACCCUAAAUCUGAAACCCUAAUUCCUAAACCUUAACCCUUAAAUCUUAAACCCUAAACUCCUAACCCCUUAACCCUAAACCCUAAUCCCUAAAUCCUAAAUCCUAAAACCCUAAAUACUAAACUCUAAACCCUAAAUCCUAUACCAAAUAAUGAAAGAAUUCUACAGCUAGACAUUCUGCAAAAAUAAAUCUAAACAGCAAAGCAAAUUUAACAAUCUAAUAUUGGACAUCAAAUAACUUGAUGGAAAGUCUAGUCCAAAUUUAUUAGAUUUGUCCUGAUCUUAAUCAUCCCCAAAAAAUCUCACCAAGGAAUGAUUAGUAAAGUACGAGGAAAAGAAAUUGGAGCUAAAUGAAGAAAAUAGAUUAUUGUAGCAGAAUCUGCAAAAAAAAAGGUGGAUAUUUCCAAGCCUUAAGCAGUAUGGAUUGCUGAUCAAUAAAAAUCAUUCAAAACUGUACCGUGUAAAAACUUGAAGAAUGGCGGAGAGAAGUUCUGUACAAUUUGUGGAUAGACAUGCAGCAACUGGUCCCUCACCAGAUUGAUCCAAAGGUCUAGUUGAAUAUAUCUUAGUAUUAUUCUCUCACUAUAAGUUCUAAAAUAAUGUCUCAGUAAGCAAAGAAAAC